rfam:Schistosoma mansoni strain Puerto Rico chromosome 4, complete genome
AUCCAGCUGACGAGUCUCAAAUAGGACUAAACGUGAAUCCUGGAU